AACGAACGCUGGCGGCGUGGAUAAGACAUGCAAGUCGAGCGCUCAUCCGGUUGCAGCAAUGUAGACGGGUGGGAGCGGCGCAAGGGUGCGUAACGCGUGGGUAAUUUGCCGUGAAGUUGGGAAUAACUCGCUGAAAGGCGAGCUAAUGCCGAAUGUGGUUGCCAGGGGGAAUCCCCUGGUUACUAAAGUUGGGGACCGAAAGGCCUGACGCUUCAUGAUAAGCCCGCGGCCUAUCAGCUAGUUGGUGAGGUAACGGCCCACCAAGGCUAAGACGGGUAGCUGGUCUGAGAGGACGACCAGCCACACUGGAACUGAGACACGGUCCAGACACCUACGGGUGGCAGCAGUCGAGAAUUUUUCACAAUGGGCGCAAGCCUGAUGGAGCGACGCCGCGUGGGGGAUGAAGGGCUUCGGCCCGUAAACCCCUGUCAUUUGCGAACAAACCUUGUCCGUGAACAACGGACGAGCUGAUGGUAGCGAAAGAGGAAGGGACGGCUAACUCUGUGCCAGCCGCCGCCGUAAAAC
rnacentral:rRNA from 1 species